GACGAACGCUGGCGGCGUGCCUAAUACAUGCAAGUAGAACGCUGAAGCGAGGAGCUUCCUCUUCUUGGAUGAGUUGCGAACGGGUGAGUAACGCGUAGGUAACCUGCCUUGUAGCGGGGGAUAACUAUUGGAAACGAUAGCUAAUACCGCAUAACAAUGGAUGACACAUGUCAUUUAUUUGAAAGGGGCAAUUGCUCCACUACAAGAUGGACCUGCGUUGUAUUAGCUAGUAGGUGAGGUAAUGGCUCACCUAGGCGACGAUACAUAGCCGACCUGAGAGGGUGAUCGGCCACACUGGGACUGAGACACGGCCCAGACUCCUACGGGAGGCAGCAGUAGGGAAUCUUCGGCAAUGGGGGCAACCCUGACCGAGCAACGCCGCGUGAGUGAAGAAGGUUUUCGGAUCGUAAAGCUCUGUUGUAAGUCAAGAACGGGGGUGAGAGUGGAAAGUUCACACUGUGACGGUAGCUUACCAGGAAGGGACGGCUAACUACGUG
rnacentral:rRNA from 1 species